rnacentral:rRNA from 1 species
CUUGCUCUUCUUGGAUGAGUUGCGAACGGGUGAGUAACGCGUAGGUAACCUGCCUUGUAGCGGGGGAUAACUAUUGGAAACGAUAGCUAAUACCGCAUAACAAUGGAUGACACAUGUCAUUUAUUUGAAAGGGGCAAUUGCUCCACUACAAGAUGGACCUGCGUUGUAUUAGCUAGUAGGUGAGGUAAUGGCUCACCUAGGCGACGAUACAUAGCCGACCUGAGAGGGUGAUCGGCCACACUGGGACUGAGACACGGCCCAGACUCCUACGGGAGGCAGCAGUAGGGAAUCUUCGGCAAUGGGGGCAACCCUGACCGAGCAACGCCGCGUGAGUUAAGAAGGUUUUCGGAUCGUAAAGCUCUGUUGUAAGUCAAGAACGGGUGUGAGAGUGGAAAGUUCACACUGUGACGGUAGCUUAC